rnacentral:rRNA from 1 species
GACGAACGCUGGCGGCGUGCUUAACACAUGCAAGUCGAACGGUGAAGCGCCUUCCUUUUUGGUGGGUGUGGAUGAGUGGCGAACGGGUGAGUAACACGGGAGUAACCUGCCCCCUUCUUCUGGAUAACCGCAUGAAAGUGUGGCUAAUACGGGAUAUUCUUGGUCUGUCGCAUGAUGGGUCUGGGUAAGAUUUUGUUUCGGUGGGGGAUGGGCUCCGGGCCUAUCAGCUUGUUGGUGGGGUGAUGGCCUACCAAGGCGGUGACGGGUAGACGGCCUGAGAGGGUAGACGGCCUCACAGGGACUGAGACACGGUCGAGACUCCUACGCGAGGCAGCAGUGGGGAGUAGAGCACAAUGGGGGCAAGCGUGAUGCAGCGACGCCGCGUGAGGGAUGGAGGCGUGCGGGGUGUGAACCUCUUUCGCUAGUGAAGCAGGCCUGCCUGGUUUGUGGGUGGAUUGACGGUAGCUGGAGAAGAAGCGCCGGCUAACUACGUG